rnacentral:lncRNA from 1 species
CAUUACAGACGCAGGUGGGGAGGUGCUGCAAUAGCAGUGACUCAGGACUGCACCAUCUCGCCCUGCUGAUGGGCUCUGUGUGGGCUCAUCCUGCCCAGGACACCGUCUCCAAGGGCUGGGAGCCACCUGUUGGGCAAAAGUGGGGCAGAGGAGCAGCGUUGCUCAACCCAACCUCAUUCACCACUCAUCCCAGAGCAUCAUCUCCAUCACCUGCAGCAUAAUUCCCUUUGCAAGCCAAGCAGCAAGUCUACUUUCUGCUUCAGUUGCUUCCCUCUGCAAAAAGCGUUUGCUAACUCCCAUUAUCCAAUAUUUAACAGUGCACAGCAAUAAACAAAGUGUUAGAGAUGAGAGUACACGCCGCGUGUGUUGUGAGGCUGCAUUCAAAAUGCAGAGGCUGUCUGCUGAGGGAAGCAGUGCUCUGUGCAGCUUUCAGGUGCGUUCUGCUCUCUAUCAGAGCCCAAUUAGAUUCCUGCUCCGGGGAGAACAGCUCUUUGCGGAGCAGAGAUGGAGCGCCCUACCUGCACACAGUGAUUGCUGCUUAUCAUAAAGAUGGACAUGGCUACCAAAAGAUGCACAUGGAAAGCAUCCCCCGGCUUCCAGUUCCAGCCUCCCACCUCAGCCGUGCAGCCGCUCCAGAACAACAUCCAUCCCCAUCGUUCCUCUUGCUUUCAAUCCACAAUCCAGAUUUGCCCGGAGACCUAUAAGAGCUCUUAAGCUAUCUUGUCUGCUCGUGUGCAGAGGAGGGGGAGAAGAAAGCCCCACGGUGGAGAAAACAAGGCUGCGUGAAUUGGAGGGGUUAGGAAAACACUCGUACCUAUGCAGGGAAGGCACCAAGUGAUGAAUCAAUUAAAUACCU